UACGUAGGGUCCGAGCGUUGUCCGGAAUUAUUGGGCGUAAAGGGCUCGUCGGCGGUUCGUCACGUCGGGAGUGAAAACUCGGGGCUUAACCCCGAGCCUGCUUCCGAUACGGGCAGACUAGAGGUAGGCAGGGGAGAGCGGAACUCCUGGUGUAGCGGUGGAAUGCGCAGAUAUCAGGAGGAACACCGGUGGCGAAGGCGGGUCUCUGGGCCGAUACUGACGCUGAGGAGCGAAAGCGUGGGGAGCGAACAGG
rnacentral:rRNA from 1 species